UGGUGGAGUGAUUUGUCUGGUUAAUUCCGUUAACGAACGAGACCUUAACCUACUAAAUAGCUACAUUUAGGUAAAACUAAGUGACUAGCUUCUUAGAGGGACUUUGCGUGACUAACGCAAGGAAGUUUGAGGCAAUAACA
rnacentral:rRNA from 1 species